GCUGAUGUGGCUCAGUCGGUAGAGCAAAUGAUUCGUAAUCAUUAGGUCGGAGGUUCGAAUCCUCUCAUCAGCA
rnacentral:tRNA from 1 species